UACGUAGGGGGCAAGCGUUGUCCGGAUUUAUUGGGCGUAAAGAGCUCGUAGGCGGUCUGUUGCGUCCGCUGUGAAAACUCGGGGCUUAACCCCGAGCCUGCAGUGGAUACGGGCAGACUAGAGGUAGGUAGGGGAGAAUGGAAUUCCCGGUGUAGCGGUGAAAUGCGCAGAUAUCGGGAGGAACACCGAUGGCGAAGGCAGGUCUCUGGGCCACUACUGACGCUGAGAAGCGAAAGCAUGGGGAGCGAACAGG
rnacentral:rRNA from 1 species